GAUGAACGCUGGCGGCGUGCCUAAUACAUGCAAGUCGAACGAGGUGCUUUUGUAGCAAUACGAGAGUAUCCUAGUGGCGAACGGGUGAGUAACGCGUUGGUGACCUACCCCAAAGUGUGGGAUAACAGUUCGAAAGGAUUGCUAAUACCGCAUGUGGUCUUCGGAUUUAGAGACUGAUGACUAAAGGAGUAAUCCGCUGUGGGAGGGACCUGCGUCCCAUCAGCUAGUUGGUGAGGUAACGGCUCACCAAGGCGACGACGGGUAGGGGACCUGAGAGGGUGGCCCCCCACAAUGGAACUGAAACACGGUCCAUACACCUACGGGUGGCAGCAGUAGGGAAUAUUGCACAAUGAGCGAAAGCCUGAUGCAGCAACGCCGCGUGUGCGAUGAAGGCCUUCGGGUCGUAAAGCUCUGUCAUAUGGGAAUAAUUUUGAAUGUACCAUAUAAGAAAGGAUCGGCUAACUUCGUGCCAGCCGCCGCAGUAAUAC
rnacentral:rRNA from 1 species